rnacentral:rRNA from 1 species
AGUGAACGCUGGCGGUAGGCCUAACACAUGCAAGUCGAACGGCAGCACAGUAAGAGCUUGCUCUUACGGGUGGCGAGUGGCGGACGGGUGAGGAAUACAUAGGCAUCUACUUUUUCGUGGGGGAUAACGUAGGGAAACUUACGCUAAUACCGCAUACGACCUACGGGUGAAAGCAGGGGAUCUUCGGACCUUGCGCGAUUGAAUGAGCCGAUGUCGGAUUAGCUAGUUGGCGGGGUAAAGGCCCACCAAGGCGACGAUCCGUAGCUGGUCUGAGAGGAUGAUCAGCCACACUGGAACUGAGACACGGUCCAGACUCCUACGGGAGGCAGCAGUGGGGAAUAUUGGACAAUGGGCGCAAGCCUGAUCCAGCCAUACCGCGUGGGUGAAGAAGGCCUUCGGGUUGUAAAGCCCUUUUGUUGGGAAAGAAAAGCAGCAGGUGAAUACCCCGCUGUUCUGACGGUACCCAAAGAAUAAGCACCGGCUAACUUCGUG